rnacentral:rRNA from 1 species
UGGGGAAUAUUGCACAAUGGGCGCAAGCCUGAUGCAGCCAUGCCGCGUGUAUGAAGAAGGCCUUCGGGUUGUAAAGUACUUUCAGUCGGGAGGAAGGUGUCAAGGUUAAUAACCUUGGCAAUUGACGUUACCGACAGAAGAAGCACCGGCUAACUCCGUGCCAGCAGCCGCGGUAAUACGGAGGGUGCAAGCGUUAAUCGGAAUUACUGGGCGUAAAGCGCACGCAGGCGGUUGAUUGAGUCAGAUGUGAAAUCCCCGGGCUUAACCCGGGAAUUGCAUCUGAUACUGGUCAGCUAGAGUCUUGUAGAGGGGGGUAGAAUUCCAUGUGUAGCGGUGAAAUGCGUAGAGAUGUGGAGGAAUACUGGUGGCGAAGGCGGCCCCCUGGACAAAGACUGACGCUCAGGUGCGAAAGCGUGGGGAGCAAACAGG